AUGAACGCUGGCGGCGUGCCUAAUACAUGCCAGUCGAGCGAACAGACGAGGAGCUUGCUCCUCUGACGUUAGCGGCGGACGGGUGAGUAACACGUGGAUAACCUACCUAUAAGACUGGGAUAACUUCGGGAAACCGGAGCUAAUACCGGAUAAUAUAUUGAACCGCAUGGUUCCAUAGUGAAAGACGGUUUUGCUGUCACUUAUAGAUGGAUCCGCGCCGCAUUAGCUAGUUGGUAAGGUAACGGCUUACCAAGGCAACGAUGCGUAGCCGACCUGAGAGGGUGAUCGGCCACACUGGAACUGAGACACGGUCCAGACUCCUACGGGAGGCAGCAGUAGGGAAUCUUCCGCAAUGGGCGAAAGCUUGACGGAGCAACGCCGCGUGAGUGAUGAAGGUCUUCGGAUCGUAAAACUCUGUUAUUAGGGAAGAACAAAUGUGUAAGUAACUAUGCACGUCUUGACGGUACCUAAUCAGAAAGCCACGGCUAACUACGU
rnacentral:rRNA from 1 species